rnacentral:lncRNA from 1 species
UUUGAAGGGAAGUUUUAAGUCCGCUUUCUUCCUUGAACUAGGAGGACUAGAGCUAAGAGAUCUCUUCUCAACUGGCACAACAGUGGAGGUAAGACGGGGAAGACAGUUGCUUGAAAGAAUUCCACAGUUCUCCAACAAACAAUCUCCCCUGCCACUACCUACAUUUUCCGAGGACGAGAUCUCAUCAAGGAAAACAGGCGGUACCUC